rnacentral:rRNA from 1 species
AUUGAACGCUGGCGGCAUGCCUUACACAUGCAAGUCGAACGGCAGCACGGAGCUUGCUCUGGUGGCGAGUGGCGAACGGGUGAGUAAUAUAUCGGAACGUACCCAAGAGUGGGGGAUAACGUAGCGAAAGUUACGCUAAUACCGCAUACGAUCCAAGGAUGAAAGCAGGGGACCGCAAGGCCUUGUACUCCUGGAGCGGCCGAUAUUUGAUUAGCUAGUUGGUGGGGUAAAGGCCCACCAAGGCAUCGAUCAGUAGCUGGUCUGAGAGGACGAACAGCCACACUGGAACUGAGACACGGUCCAGACUCCUACGGGAGGCAGCAGUGGGGAAUUUUGGACAAUGGGGGCAACCCUGAUCCAGCAAUGCCGCGUGAGUGAAGAAGGCCUUCGGGUUGUAAAGCUCUUUUGUCAGGGAAGAAAAGGGAUUGGCUAAUAUCCAGUCCUCAUGACGGUACCUGAAGAAUAAGCACCGGCUAACUACGUGCCAGCCGCCGCAGUAA